rnacentral:rRNA from 1 species
AACCGGGGGAACUGAAACAUCUAAGUACCCCGAGGAAAAGAAAUCAACCGAGAUUCCCCCAGUAGCGGCGAGCGAACGGGGAGCAGCCCAGAGCCUGAAUCAGUGUGUGUGUUAGUGGAAGCGUCUGGAAAGGCGCGCGAUACAGGGUGACAGCCCCGUACACAAAAAUGCACAUGCUGUGAGCUCGAUGAGUAGGGCGGGACACGUGGUAUCCUGUCUGAAUAUGGGGGGACCAUCCUCCAAGGCUAAAUACUCCUGACUGACCGAUAGUGAACCAGUACCGUGAGGGAAAGGCGAAAAGAACCCCGGCGAGGGGAGUGAAAAAGAACCUGAAACCGUGUACGUACAAGCAGUGGGAGCCUCUUUAUGGGGUGACUGCGUACCUUUUGUAUAAUGGGUCAGCGACUUAUAUUCUGUAGCAAGGUUAACCGAAUAGGGGAGCCGAAGGGAAACCGAGUCUUAACUGGGCGUUAAGUUGCAGGGUAUAGACCCGAAACCCGGUGAUCUAGCCAUGGGCAGGUUGAAGGUUGGGUAACACUAACUGGAGGACCGAACCGACUAAUGUUGAAAAAUUAGCGGAUGACUUGUGGCUGGGGGUGAAAGGCCAAUCAAACCGGGAGAUAGCUGGUUCUCCCCGAAAGCUAUUUAGGUAGCGCCUCGUGAAUUCAUCUCCGGGGGUAGAGCACUGUUUCGGCAAGGGGGUCAUCCCGACUUACCAACCCGAUGCAAACUGCGAAUACCGGAGAAUGUUAUCACGGGAGACACACGGCGGGUGCUAACGUCCGUCGUGAAGAGGGAAACAACCCAGACCGCCAGCUAAGGUCCCAAAGUCAUGGUUAAGUGGGAAACGAUGUGGGAAGGCCCAGACAGCCAGGAUGUUGGCUUAGAAGCAGCCAUCAUUUAAAGAAAGCGUAAUAGCUCACUGGUCGAGUCGGCCUGCGCGGAAGAUGUAACGGGGCUAAACCAUGCACCGAAGCUGCGGCAGCGACGCUUAUGCGUUGUUGGGUAGGGGAGCGUUCUGUAAGCCUGCGAAGGUGUACUGUGAGGUAUGCUGGAGGUAUCAGAAGUGCGAAUGCUGACAUAAGUAACGAUAAAGCGGGUGAAAAGCCCGCUCGCCGGAAGACCAAGGGUUCCUGUCCAACGUUAAUCGGGGCAGGGUGAGUCGACCCCUAAGGCGAGGCCGAAAGGCGUAGUCGAUGGGAAACAGGUUAAUAUUCCUGUACUUGGUGUUACUGCGAAGGGGGGACGGAGAAGGCUAUGUUGGCCGGGCGACGGUUGUCCCGGUUUAAGCGUGUAGGCUGGUUUUCCAGGCAAAUCCGGAAAAUCAAGGCUGAGGCGUGAUGACGAGGCACUACGGUGCUGAAGCAACAAAUGCCCUGCUUCCAGGAAAAGCCUCUAAGCAUCAGGUAACAUCAAAUCGUACCCCAAACCGACACAGGUGGUCAGGUAGAGAAUACCAAGGCGCUUGAGAGAACUCGGGUGAAGGAACUAGGCAAAAUGGUGCCGUAACUUCGGGAGAAGGCACGCUGAUAUGUAGGUGAAGUCCCUCGCGGAUGGAGCUGAAAUCAGUCGAAGAUACCAGCUGGCUGCAACUGUUUAUUAAAAACACAGCACUGUGCAAACACGAAAGUGGACGUAUACGGUGUGACGCCUGCCCGGUGCCGGAAGGUUAAUUGAUGGGGUUAGCGGUAACGCGAAGCUCUUGAUCGAAGCCCCGGUAAACGGCGGCCGUAACUAUAACGGUCCUAAGGUAGCGAAAUUCCUUGUCGGGUAAGUUCCGACCUGCACGAAUGGCGUAAUGAUGGCCAGGCUGUCUCCACCCGAGACUCAGUGAAAUUGAACUCGCUGUGAAGAUGCAGUGUACCCGCGGCAAGACGGAAAGACCCCGUGAACCUUUACUAUAGCUUGACACUGAACAUUGAGCCUUGAUGUGUAGGAUAGGUGGGAGGCUUUGAAGUGUGGACGCCAGUCUGCAUGGAGCCGACCUUGAAAUACCACCCUUUAAUGUUUGAUGUUCUAACGUUGGCCCCUGAUCGGGGUUGCGGACAGUGUCUGGUGGGUAGUUUGACUGGGGCGGUCUCCUCCUAAAGAGUAACGGAGGAGCACGAAGGUUGGCUAAUCCUGGUCGGACAUCAGGAGGUUAGUGCAAUGGCAUAAGCCAGCUUGACUGCGAGCGUGACGGCGCGAGCAGGUGCGAAAGCAGGUCAUAGUGAUCCGGUGGUUCUGAAUGGAAGGGCCAUCGCUCAACGGAUAAAAGGUACUCCGGGGAUAACAGGCUGAUACCGCCCAAGAGUUCAUAUCGACGGCGGUGUUUGGCACCUCGAUGUCGGCUCAUCACAUCCUGGGGCUGAAGUAGGUCCCAAGGGUAUGGCUGUUCGCCAUUUAAAGUGGUACGCGAGCUGGGUUUAGAACGUCGUGAGACAGUUCGGUCCCUAUCUGCCGUGGGCGCUGGAGAACUGAGGGGGGCUGCUCCUAGUACGAGAGGACCGGAGUGGACGCAUCACUGGUGUUCGGGUUGUCAUGCCAAUGGCACUGCCCGGUAGCUAAAUGCGGAAGAGAUAAGUGCUGAAAGCAUCUAAGCACGAAACUUGCCCCGAGAUGAGUUCUCCCUGACUCCCUGAGAGUCCUGAAGGAACGUUGAAGACGACGACGUUGAUAGGCCGGGUGUGUAAGCGCAGCGAUGCGUUGAGCUAACCGGUACUAAUGAACCGUGAGGCUUAACCUU